rnacentral:rRNA from 1 species
CCGACGGUGAGAGGUGAAAGCUGGGGGAGCAAACCGGAUUAGAUACCCGGGUAGUCCCAGCCGUAAACGAUGUGCGUUAGGUGUAUCGGUGACCACGAGUCACCGAGGUGCCGAAGAGAAAUCGUGAAACGUACCGCCUGGGAAGUACGGUCGCAAGGCUGAAACUUAAAGGAAUUGGCGGGGGAGCACCACAACAGGUGGAGCCUGCGGUUUAAUCGGACUCAACGCCGGGAAACUCACCAGAUAAGACAGUUGAAUGAUAGUCGGGCUGAAGACUCUACUUGACUAGCUGAGAGGAGGUGCAUGGCCGUCGUCAGUUCGUACUGUGAAGCAUCCUGUUAAGUCAGGCAACGAGCGAGACCCACGCCAACAGUUGCU